GUGUGCCCAGGCGCCUGGCGUCCGCGUCGGCGAUCCGGGGUCUGGGCGCGGCGAGAAUGUGGAAGCGUCGGCCGAGCGCGGUCCUUGGAGAACCCUUGCUGCGGAGAAUGACGCUCACUCUGCGGCCUGGCCUCGCCUCCCCAUCCCUUCUGCAAACUCACAGGACAGGAUUGAUGGGGAGAGCCCAGGCGAAACGAAGCUGACCCUAGUGACCAGCCCUACUGGCGGCUCUGGAACAGGCCCGGGACCGGUGGCCUGGAGACAGUGGUCCUUUCUGGAUGGGCUGCAGUCUCCGAAGGCUUCCCCCACUGGAGUCAGCCCUUUAGGAGUUUGUCCAGUGCCUCCAGAAAGCUGUUUUUUGGGGGACGGAGGACUUGGCCUGGAAUUCUGGAAUUCCCAGGGGGUCAGACAUGGUUAUGGGAAGUUUAAUAAAACCGGUGAAUCACGUGAAUUCUGCAACAGCU
ensembl:lncRNA SNAI3-AS1 SNAI3 antisense RNA 1